AAUGAACGCUGGCGGCAUGCCUAACACAUGCAAGUCGAACGAAGGCUUCGGCCUUAGUGGCGCACGGGUGCGUAACGCGUGGGAAUCUGCCCUCAGGUUCGGAAUAACAGCGAGAAAUUGCUGCUAAUACCGGAUGAUAUCGCGAGAUCAAAGAUUUAUCGCCUGAGGAUGAGCCCGCGUAGGAUUAGCUAGUUGGUGUGGUAAAGGCGCACCAAGGCGACGAUCCUUAGCUGGACUGAGAGGUUGAUCAGCCACACUGGGACUGGGAAACGGCCCAGACUCCUACGGGAGGCAGCAGUGGGGAAUAUUGGACAAUGGGCGAAAGCCUGAUCCAGCAAUGCCGCGUGAGUGAUGAAGGCCUUAGGGUUGUAAAGCUCUUUUACCCGGGAUGAUAAUGACAGUACCGGGAGAAUAAGCUCCGGCUAACUCCGUGCCAGCAGCCGCCGUAA
rnacentral:rRNA from 1 species